GAUGAAGAACGUAGUGAAAUGCGAUAAGUAGUGUGAAUUGCAGAAUUCAGUGAAUCAUCGAAUCUUUGAACGCACAUUGCGCCCACUGGUAUUCCGGUGGGCAUGCCUGUUCGAGCGUCAUUAUCCUCCCUCAAACCUCGGGUUUGGUGUUGGACCCAAGUUGUGUGAACAACUGGUCUCAAAGACAAUGACGGCGUCCGUGGGACCCUCGGUGCAACGAGCUUUUAAACGAGCACGCGUCGAGUUUCAAGGACCUUCCGGGCCGGUCUCCUUCUUUUAUUUACAAAGGUUGACCUCGGAUCAGGUAGGAAUACCCGCUGAACUUAAGCAUAUCAAUAAGCGGAGGA
rnacentral:misc_RNA from 1 species